UGCUCGCUUCGGCAGCAAUAUACUAAAUUGGAAUGAUAUAGAAAAAUUAGCAUGGUCCCUGUGCGAGGAUGACACGCAAAUUUGUCAAGUGUUCCAUAUUUUU
rfam:Erinaceus europaeus unplaced genomic scaffold scaffold00004, whole genome shotgun sequence